GUUUUCCUUCGUAAGGACCGAUCCAAGUGCCGAUAGGAAUGUGCUGCUUGGCACUCACGCCAUAACCCGCUCCAGGAAUACUCGAACAACAAAGCUGAACUUCGUCAGGAAAGGACGAGAUGGCAUAGGAUCCCGUACUCRGAAACCUGGAAGAGCCCAAGCAUGUACUAAAAAAAAAGGCUUCUCAGCGUGAAUCCCAACCCUAGUUCCUUCCAUUAUACAUUACAUUAUCAAUAAGUCAUGAGGUUUUAUGUAACUCAAGAUUGAAAAAAUUAUAAUUUCAAAGUUACUACAUCGUGAUCGAAAUCUGUAAAACUUUGACCCGCUCUGCAGAAAUGACUAAAAAAAUCAACUAGAAUUAAGCUUUGAAUAUUCUCAAUAAUCUAAUUUUGUAUCAAAA